rnacentral:rRNA from 1 species
AUUGAACGCUGGCGGCAGGCCUAACACAUGCAAGUCGAACGGUAACAGGAAGAAGCUUGCUUCUUUGCUGCCGAGUGGCGGACGGGUGAGUAAUGUCUGGGAAACUGCCUGAUGGAGGGGGAUAACUACUGGAAACGGUAGCUAAUACCGCAUAACGUCGCAAGACCAAAGAGGGGGACCUUCGGGCCUCUUGCCAUCGGAUGUGCCCAGAUGGGAUUAGCUAGUAGGUGGGGUAACGGCUCACCUAGGCGACGAUCCCUAGCUGGUCUGAGAGGAUGACCAGCCACACUGGAACUGAGACACGGUCCAUACUCCUACGGGAGGCAGCAGUGGGGAAUAUUGCACAAUGGGCGCAAGCCUGAUGCAGCCAUGCCGCGUGUAUGAAGAAGGCCUUCGGGUUGUAAAGUACUUUCAGCGGGGAGGAAGGGAGUAAAGUUAAUACCUUUACUCAUUGACGUUACCCGCAGAAGAAGCACCGGCUAACUCCGUG